rnacentral:rRNA from 1 species
GGUUAAGCGACUAAGCGUACACGGUGGAUGCCCUGGCAGUCAGAGGCGAUGAAGGGCGUGCUAAUCUGCGAUAAGCGCCGGUAAGGUGAUAUGAACCGUUAUAACCGGCGAUACCCGAAUGGGGAAACCCAGUGUGACUCGUCACACUAUCAUUAACUGAAUCCAUAGGUUAAUGAGGCGAACCGGGGGAACUGAAACAUCUAAGUACCCCGAGGAAAAGAAAUCAACCGAGAUUCCCCCAGUAGCGGCGAGCGAACGGGGAGGAGCCCAGAGCCUGAAUCAGCAUGUGUGUUAGUGGAAGCGUCUGGAAAGUCGCGCGAUACAGGGUGACAGCCCCGUACACAAAAGCGCAUGUGUUGUGAGCUCGAUGAGUAGGGCGGGACACGUGGUAUCCUGUCUGAAUAUGGGGGGACCAUCCUCCAAGGCUAAAUACUCCUGACUGACCGAUAGUGAACCAGUACCGUGAGGGAAAGGCGAAAAGAACCCCGGCGAGGGGAGUGAAAAAGAACCUGAAACCGUGUACGUACAAGCAGUGGGAGCCCCACCACCAAAGCAUUCUCUGGUGUUGAAGGCCCUGCAAAGCAGCAUCGCGGUGGCGGAGCGUCGUUUGCGACGCCCAACACAAAAAACAAGCGGUGAGUGCUUUGGGGUGGGGUGACUGCGUACCUUUUGUAUAAUGGGUCAGCGACUUAUAUUCUGUAGCAAGGUUAACCGAAUAGGGGAGCCGUAGGGAAACCGAGUCUUAACUGGGCGUUAAGUUGCAGGGUAUAGACCCGAAACCCGGUGAUCUAGCCAUGGGCAGGUUGAAGGUUGGGUAACACUAACUGGAGGACCGAACCGACUAAUGUUGAAAAAUUAGCGGAUGACCUGUGGCUGGGGGUGAAAGGCCAAUCAAACCGGGAGAUAGCUGGUUCUCCCCGAAAGCUAUUUAGGUAGCGCCUCGUGAAUUCAUCUCCGGGGGUAGAGCACUGUUUCGGCUAGGGGGCCAUCCCGGCUUACCAACCCGAUGCAAACUGCGAAUACCGGAGAAUGUUAUCACGGGAGACACACGGCGGGUGCUAACGUCCGUCGUGAAGAGGGAAACAACCCAGACCGCCAGCUAAGGUCCCAAAGUCAUGGUUAAGUGGGAAACGAUGUGGGAAGGCCCAGACAGCCAGGAUGUUGGCUUAGAAGCAGCCAUCAUUUAAAGAAAGCGUAAUAGCUCACUGGUCGAGUCGGCCUGCGCGGAAGAUGUAACGGGGCUAAACCAUGCACCGAAGCUGCGGCAGCGACGCUGAUGCGUUGUUGGGUAGGGGAGCGUUCUGUAAGCCUGCGAAGGUGGCCUGUGAGGGUUGCUGGAGGUAUCAGAAGUGCGAAUGCUGACAUAAGUAACGAUAAAGCGGGUGAAAAGCCCGCUCGCCGGAAGACCAAGGGUUCCUGUCCAACGUUAAUCGGGGCAGGGUGAGUCGACCCCUAAGGCGAGGCCGAAAGGCGUAGUCGAUGGGAAACGGGUUAAUAUUCCCGUACUUGGUGUUACUGCGAAGGGGGGACGGAGAAGGCUAUGUUGGCCGGGCGACGGUUGUCCCGGUUUAAGCGUGUAGGUGUGUGUUCCAGGUAAAUCCGGUUCACUUUAACACUGAGGCGUGACGACGAGGCACUACGGUGCUGAAGCAACAAAUGCCCUGCUUCCAGGAAAAGCCUCUAAGCAUCAGGUAACAUCAAAUCGUACCCCAAACCGACACAGGUGGUCAGGUAGAGAAUACCAAGGCGCUUGAGAGAACUCGGGUGAAGGAACUAGGCAAAAUGGUGCCGUAACUUCGGGAGAAGGCACGCUGACACGUAGGUGAAGUGAUUUACUCAUGGAGCUGAAGUCAGUCGAAGAUACCAGCUGGCUGCAACUGUUUAUUAAAAACACAGCACUGUGCAAACACGAAAGUGGACGUAUACGGUGUGACGCCUGCCCGGUGCCGGAAGGUUAAUUGAUGGGGUCAGCGCAAGCGAAGCUCCUGAUCGAAGCCCCGGUAAACGGCGGCCGUAACUAUAACGGUCCUAAGGUAGCGAAAUUCCUUGUCGGGUAAGUUCCGACCUGCACGAAUGGCGUAAUGAUGGCCAGGCUGUCUCCACCCGAGACUCAGUGAAAUUGAACUCGCUGUGAAGAUGCAGUGUACCCGCGGCAAGACGGAAAGACCCCGUGAACCUUUACUAUAGCUUGACACUGAACAUUGAGCCUUGAUGUGUAGGAUAGGUGGGAGGCUUUGAAGUGUGGACGCCAGUCUGCAUGGAGCCGACCUUGAAAUACCACCCUUUAAUGUUUGAUGUUCUAACGUGGACCCGUAAUCCGGGUUGCGGACAGUGUCUGGUGGGUAGUUUGACUGGGGCGGUCUCCUCCUAAAGAGUAACGGAGGAGCACGAAGGUUGGCUAAUCCUGGUCGGACAUCAGGAGGUUAGUGCAAUGGCAUAAGCCAGCUUGACUGCGAGCGUGACGGCGCGAGCAGGUGCGAAAGCAGGUCAUAGUGAUCCGGUGGUUCUGAAUGGAAGGGCCAUCGCUCAACGGAUAAAAGGUACUCCGGGGAUAACAGGCUGAUACCGCCCAAGAGUUCAUAUCGACGGCGGUGUUUGGCACCUCGAUGUCGGCUCAUCACAUCCUGGGGCUGAAGUAGGUCCCAAGGGUAUGGCUGUUCGCCAUUUAAAGUGGUACGCGAGCUGGGUUUAGAACGUCGUGAGACAGUUCGGUCCCUAUCUGCCGUGGGCGCUGGAGAACUGAGGGGGGCUGCUCCUAGUACGAGAGGACCGGAGUGGACGCAUCACUGGUGUUCGGGUUGUCAUGCCAAUGGCACUGCCCGGUAGCUAAAUGCGGAAGAGAUAAGUGCUGAAAGCAUCUAAGCACGAAACUUGCCCCGAGAUGAGUUCUCCCUGAGACUUAGAGUCUCCUGAAGGAACGUUGAAGACGACGACGUUGAUAGGCCGGGUGUGUAAGCGCAGCGAUGCGUUGAGCUAACCGGUACUAAUGAACCGUGAGGCUUAACCUU